UACGUAGGGACCAAGCGUUGUCCGGAAUCAUUGGGCGUAAAGAGCGUGUAGGCGGCUUGUUAAGUCUUGCGUGAAAUCUCGGGGCUCAACCCCGAGCGGUCGUGAGAAACUGGCAGGCUAGAGUGCGGGAGAGGAGAGUGGAAUUCCUGGUGUAGCGGUGAAAUGCGCAGAUAUCAGGAGGAACACCAAUAGCGAAGGCAGCUCGCUGGGACGGUACUGACGCUGAGACGCGAAAGCGUGGGGAGCAAACAGG
rnacentral:rRNA from 1 species